GGAAUAGAGCUGCAAUGUCGCGCUCAAGAUUCACCUCGGCAAGAGUUUUGCUUGGUUGCGCUGAUCUAUAGACAGGGUGACUUGGCACGCUUGUUCUUGUCGGGUGCACUUCUUGGGUGUGAGCACUGCGUCAGGUAUCUGUGGUGGUUGGUGACUGAAUAUCGUGGCCAGACCCAGUCGGUAACUGGUACCCGUUUUCAUGUCUCCAUCUGGUUGCAGAAACCAUAUAAUCUUUGCGAUAGCAUGUCUCAGACUGUGGUGUAAGGCGUCAACAGACAAGCUGGUAUCCUGCUUGCAGGUUGCGGCAAAACUUGACGUUCAUACAGUGCUGAUCUGAAAAAUCGCAGAGUCAGCAGUGUUGUGCCAGCCACCUAUUCCACCCGUCUUGAAACACGGACCAAGAAGUCUAACAUGUGCGCAAGUCAUUGGUCUGUAAAGACCAAAGGCGAAAUGAAAAUAAGCUUCUUCGGAAGUUAAGCAGGAUCCUUGCUUUUGCAAGGCGCACUGCUGUCCCGCCUUAUAUGCAUAGUCAUUUAGGCGGAGAAAGAGCGCACAUGUUAGGACCCGAAAGAUGGUGACCUAUACCAGAGCAGGGCGAAGCCAGAGGAAACUCUGGUGGAGGUCCGUAGCGAUUCUGACGUGCAAAUCGAUCGUCAGACU
rnacentral:rRNA from 1 species